rnacentral:rRNA from 1 species
GACGAACGCUGGCGGCGUGCUUAACACAUGCAAGUCGAACGGAAAGGCCCUGCUUGCAGGGUCCUCGAGUGGCGAACGGGUGAGUAACACGUGGGUGAUCUGCCCUGCACUUCGGGAUAAGCCUGGGAAACUGGGUCUAAUACCGGAUAGGAGCCAUUUUUAGUGUGAUGGUUGGAAAGUUUUUUCGGUGUAGGAUGAGCUCGCGGCCUAUCAGCUUGUUGGUGGGGUAAUGGCCUACCAAGGCGGCGACGGGUAGCCGGCCUGAGAGGGUGGACGGCCACAUUGGGACUGAGAUACGGCCCAGACUCCUACGGGAGGCAGCAGUGGGGAAGAUUGCACAAUGGGCGCAAGCCUGAUGCAGCGACGCCGCGUGGGGGAUGACGGCCUUCGGGUUGUAAACUCCUUUCGCUAGGGACGAAGCUUUUUGUGACGGUACCUAGAGAAGAAGCACCGGCUAACUACGUG